AUACAAAAUGGAGAGACCAG
rnacentral:miRNA from 15 species